rnacentral:ncRNA from 1 species
GCAAAGGCGGCGAAGGGGAGUAGUAGGGCGCCCCUCAGAGAGCCGGCGGACGGUGCGAGCCGGCGCCUGGGGCCCGAACUCGCCCCGGAGCCGCGCCGGUGAAUCCGCCUGAGGCGGACUAGCCGGCGACGGGCGCGCCCGUUACAGCGCCACUAAGCGGUCCGCCAUCGGCGGACAAUCAGGGUGGUACCGCGGAGCCUACUCCUCCGUCCCUGGA